rnacentral:rRNA from 1 species
GCAAGUCGAGCGCUUCACUUCGGUGAGGAGCGGCGGACGGGUUAGUAACGCGUGGGAAUAUACCCUUCACUACGGAAUAGCCUCGGGAAACUGAGAGUAAUACCGUAUACGCCCUUCGGGGGAAAGAUUUAUCGGUGAAGGAUUAGCCCGCGUCUGAUUAGAUAGUUGGUGGGGUAAUGGCCUACCAAGUCUACGAUCAGUAGCUGGUUUGAGAGGAUGAUC